AGCCAGGUCGCGGAACUGCACCUCUAUACACACAUGUGACGUAAUAUAUGAAGGUACACAUUUUUUAAACCGCUCAUGCCAAAGUCGCUUAAUUAAACGACAAAAACAACUUUAAACAGUGUCUGUCAACGGGGAAAGUACAUUCUUACAGGUAAUUAACCUACUUGUAAAUAUUAUAUUACAUAAUUCAAUAAAUAUACAUCACAAAUUCGAAUUAUUUUUAAGAAUGUUUAUGUGAUGGAGUUUUCUAAUGAGAUUAAUUAACGUUAAAGUUUUUAUCAGAAUCAUAAUCUUUGAAUAUGGCGAAUGAAUUAUUGCUUAACUUAAAUUUCAUGCUGUUAUACAAUUUAAAGUGUUUACUUGUGCCUGUUACUGCAUAUUGUAAAGUGUUAUAAACUGCGGCGUGGCGGGAGAUUGUGAGACCGCGUGACCUCUCUGAAUUACUGGAACCCGAGGAGCGAAGUGAAACGGCCUGUUGAAAUGAGACGGAGAAGAAUAAAACCGUUAAAAGAAGCGGAAGAUCAUGUUCUCCGUUCCAUCGACAAGACCGACGCACUGGAGGCCAAACACAUAAACGAUUAUAAAGGUCGUGGAGUCUUUGCCUUAAUUCCUUUUAUUAAAGGAGAUUUUGUUGUCGAAUAUAGGGGAGAAAUGAUUAGCUUAAUUGAAGCCGAACAAAGAAGAGAGGCCAAUCAAGACACUUUUUUUAUGUUUGACUUCAUCUGGCAGAACAAGAAAUGGAGCAUUGAUGCAAC